ACUAUCAGUUUUAAUUUAACUUACACAUGCAAGUCUCCUCGCCCCAGUGAAAAUGCCCUUUACCUUCCCAUUAGAAGCAAAGGAGCUGGUAUCAGGCCCAAAACAGCCCAAGACACCUAGCUUAGCCACGCCUCCAAAGGACUACAGCAGUGAUUAAUAUUAAAUAUUAGCGUAAGCUAAAAUUAGUUAUAAUUAAAAUAGCCGGUUAAUUUCGUGCCAGCCACCGCGGUUAUACGAAAGGCUAAAACUGAUAGUCGUCGGCGUAAAGCGUGAUUAAGGAGACCUAACCACUAAAGUCGAACUCUGAUCCAAUUGUUAUAAGUUCUCAUCAAUAGGAAAUUCAAUAACGAAAGUAACUUUAUUUUUACCUGAUCUCACGAUAGCCAUGACCCAAACUGGGAUUAGAUACCCCACUAUGCUUGGCUUUAAACUUUGAUAAAUUACAACUCAAUCCGCCCGGGUACUACGAGCUUAGCUUAAAACCCAAAGGACUUGGCGGUGCCCUAUUCCAUCUAGAGGAGCCUGUUCUUUAAUCGAUAAUCCACGAUUCACCUUACCAUUUCUUGCCAAACAGCCUAUAUACCGCCGUCGUAAACUUACCCUUUGAAGGAGUCAUAGAAAGUUUAAAGGUACCCGCCAAAACGUCAGGUCCACGUGUAGCAAAUGAAAUGGGAAGAAAUGGGCUACAUUUUCUAUAAUAGACCAAACGGAUAAUCAAUAUGAAAUCUGAUCAUGAAGGAGGAUUUAGUAGUAAAAAGAAAUCAUCAUAUUCUUUUUAACAUGGCCCUGGGGCGCGCACACACCGCCCGUCACCCUCUUCGACUAUAAUCAAUUUUAUACUUAAUAAACUAUUUUAAAACUAGAAGAGGUAAGUCGUAACAUGGUAAGUAUACCGGAAGGUGUACUUGGA
rnacentral:ncRNA from 1 species